CAUACCUAAAAACAAUAUCAAACAACAGCACUUCAAUCUAAGAGAACAAAUGUCUCUUCAGACACAGGAUUGUAAGUGGAAUAUGAGCUACUAAAGAUUAACAUGGAUGUGGAGUGAGACAGGGGAAAGGAGUAACUGUCGUGUCUUAAGAUCAAAAACUUACAAGAAUAUUCUAAGUUUUUGGUCCAUGAAAAAUCAGGAGGAAACAAGGUCUGGAGGUCUCUUACAUGCCUUGAAAAACAGGAGAUGGGCCUCCUUAGAGGAAAGCAGCCACAGAAAGACUGUAGAGGCCUCAUGUAGAGGCCAGUGGAGAGCUCUCUUCCUUAGACCUGGGUUCUUUUGCUUAUUGAUUUGCAGUUCUUAUAUACCCAGGAGGGUAACCAUCUCAGGGUCUCCCCCUGGAACUUGCACAUUGGCACAUGUGCAGAGCUCACGUGGCUGCCUGCUUCACAGAACGCAAUGGGGACCAAACCACCUGUGUGUGCUGGGCAUGUCCAGAAUGCCUAGACCUAAUGAUUUAUGAGAAAUAAGUCAAGUCUCCCAUGAAGACAGCUAUGGGUUUGUCAACAGCUCAACUGUAAUGUGAAACAAACACAUAAGAUCAUCUUUCUUUCAACUUGAACACAGCAGCUAAUGAAAUGAGCCUUCACAAUUUAAAAGCUUCAGGACAAACUUUGUGUGGCCGUUCACACUGGGUAGUCCCAAGUUUUAGGAUGCAAAGGCAAGAGGAUCGCUUGAGCCUAGAAGUCGGGGGCCAGCCUGGGCAAUACAGCGAAUGAAACCGUUUUUUUUUUUUUUUUUUUUAAAGCUUCAUGACAAAACAUGGCACUGUUUCUUCAAAAGAGCUGCCUUAUACCACAUUACCUGAUUA